CAGUCGCCGCGGGAAUACGUAGGUGGCAAGCGUUGUCCGGAAUUAUUGGGCGUAAAGGGCUCGCAGGCGGUUUCUUAAGUCUGAUGUGAAAGCCCCCGGCUCAACCGGGGAGGGUCAUUGGAAACUAGGAAACUUGAGUGCAGAAGAGGAGAGUGGAAUUCCACGUGUAGCGGUGAAAUGCGUAGAGAUGUGGAGGAACACCAGUGGCGAAGGCGACUCUCUGGUCUGUAACUGACGCUGAGGAGCGAAAGCGUGGGGAGCGAACAGGAUUAGAGACCCGCGUAGUCCCUGUCUCUUAUAC
rnacentral:rRNA from 1 species